UACGUAGGUGGCGAGCGUUGUCCGGAUUUAUUGGGCGUAAAGCGCGCGCAGGUGGUGCGGUAAGUCCUGUGUGAAAUCUCCCGGCUCAACUGGGAGGGUGCGGAGGAGACUGCCGGACUGGAGGCACUCAGAGGCCGGUGGAAUUCCCGGUGUAGUGGUGAAAUGCGUAGAUAUCGGGAGGAACACCGGUGGCGAAGGCGGCGACCUGGGUGGAUACUGACGCUGAGGUGCGAAAGCUAGGGGAGCAAACAGG
rnacentral:rRNA from 1 species